AACGAACGCUGGCGGCAGGCCUAACACAUGCAAGUCGAGCGCGCCCUUCGGGGUGAGCGGCGGACGGGUGAGUAACGCGUGGGAACGUGCCCUUUUCUACGGAAUAGCCUCGGGAAACUGAGAGUAAUACCGUAUACGCCCUUUGGGGGAAAGAUUUAUCGGAAAAGGAUCGGCCCGCGUUGGAUUAGGUAGUUGGUGGGGUAAUGGCCUACCAAGCCGACGAUCCAUAGCUGGUUUGAGAGGAUGAUCAGCCACACUGGGACUGAGACACGGCCCAGACUCCUACGGGAGGCAGCAGUGGGGAAUCUUAGACAAUGGGGGCAACCCUGAUCUAGCCAUGCCGCGUGAGUGAUGAAGGCCUUAGGGUUGUAAAGCUCUUUCAUCUGGGAAGAUAAUGACGGUACCAGCAGAAGAAGCCCCGGCUAACUCCGUG
rnacentral:rRNA from 1 species